rnacentral:rRNA from 1 species
UACGUAGGGUGCAAGCGUUAAUCGGAAUUACUGGGCGUAAAGGGUGCGCAGGCGGCCGAGCAAGUCGAGUGUGAAAGCCCCGAGCUUAACUUGGGAACUGCGCUCGAAACUACUUGGCUAGAGUGUGGCAGAGGGAGGUGGAAUUCCACGUGUAGCGGUGAAAUGCGUAGAGAUGUGGAGGAACACCGAUGGCGAAGGCAGCCUCCUGGGCCAACACUGACGCUCAUGCACGAAAGCGUGGGGAGCAAACAGG